UACGAAGGGGGCUAGCGUUGCUCGGAAUCACUGGGCGUAAAGCGCACGUAGGCGGAUCUUUAAGUCAGGGGUGAAAUCCCAAGGCUCAACCUUGGAACUGCCUUUGAUACUGGGGAUCUCGAGUCCGGAAGAGGUUGGUGGAACUGCGAGUGUAGAGGUGAAGUUCGUAGAUAUUCGCAAGAACACCAGUGGCGAAGGCGGCCAACUGGUCCGGUACUGACGCUGAGGUGCGAAAGCGUGGGGAGCAAACAGG
rnacentral:rRNA from 1 species